rnacentral:misc_RNA from 1 species
UAUAGACUGUGAGGAGAGCUUCGGAGGGAUAAAUUUAAUUAUUCAGAGUUAAAUAAUGGGUAACGAGAUUGUCACAUGAAAAAAUAUGGACAUGCCAGCAAGAAAAACAGAAAAAACGAUCAAUCAGCAAUUAGCUAUGUACUGUCCAGCCUGGGGUGAGCAGACCGUGCAAUCUAAAACAGACUAGGACAUGGUGCAUGAUACAAUUAUAAAUUAUCUCGGUGGAUUAUUCGUCUUGAACGAAAUGUAUCAUUAAAUC